UGGACUUCAAAUUCUCAAUGUAAGCACUUAUUUUUUCUCUUCGCAAUACUAAUCUCACCAAAUAUUUAACCUACAUCUUACAUAUGAAUUACUUUAUAGCCUGGAACUAAAGGUCAAAGAAUCAUUUCCGUGUCAAUGACAGCCAACAAGAAUAUCACAAUAAUUCCCAGAAGAAGAGUUGCAAAAUCAUUACAUCUGAGACACUAUGGUAAGGGAUUCAAUCAUAGUAACGAAGAAAGGGAGAGCACCAGCGUUUUUAGAAGAGCUUGAAGAGAUGCCUAUUGUAGGACCAAAUUCAACAGUAACAAGUUCAUCUACCCAAUGAAGCAUUAUCAAAAGCUGUGUCGGGAGUGCUACACCAGCAAGGCCAUCAUCUCGACUGAGGUCCAAGAUGAGCUCCAAUAAAGCAUCUCAAUCAUCAAUUGGACCAUUGAGUUCAUCUCCUAUAACUAUGGAUACCCAUGACAUUGUUGGAAAUGGUGAUGAAGCUGGAGCAACAAGGUCGUCUCCUCAACCGAAUGCCACGUUCAAGGACAAGAAAGGGACUCCACCAAGGACCACCAACAAGAACAAGCAGGAAAAUGAAGUUGAAGGAUGCAGAAGGAUGAGCCUAAGCUGAACGCUUACUGCAUUUUGAAUUUUUUUUGGGAUGUGUUGCUACGAUAUGAAGUUUAAGGCUUCUCUAGGUUGGCUGGUGUUUUUAUAUUUUAGUUAACCGGCGUCUUUAAGUUGACUGGUGCUUGUUAGCAGAUUAGUGUGAUCCGCUAUUUUGAAUUACUGGAUUCUGCUAGA